rfam:Homo sapiens chromosome 8, GRCh38 reference primary assembly.
UCUUCAAUAGCUCAGCUGGUAGAGCGGAGGACUGUAGGUGCACGCCCGUGGCCAUUCUUAGGUGCUGGUUUGAUUCCGACUUGGAGAG